UCCUGCCGAGCACCGCGCAGCCGCCUCGCUUCGCCGCGGGAGCCCCCGGUGCAGGCCUCGGCGCGGGUGCGGGAUCCCGGGCUCCGCCGCCCGCGCCAAGCCCGGCUCCGCGCCUCCCGACCGCACCAUGCGCGCCGCGCCGCCGCCUCCCGCGCGGCCCCUGCGGCUGCUGCUGCUGCUGCUCGCGCUUCUGGCCGCGCCCGCCGCCCGCGCCAGCAGAGCCGAGUCCGCCGCCGCGCCGCAGCCCGGACCCGAGCUCCCGCCGCAGCCGCCGCCCGGCCCGGGGCCCGGGAACGCCACCUGGGCGGGAUCCGGAGCGGCGGCGGGCGGCGGCGGCCCCAGCAGCAGCGGCAACGCCCUGGUGACCCGCAUCUCCAGCCUGCUCCGCGACCUGCCCACCCUGAAGGCGGCCGUGAUCGUGGCGUGCGCCUUCAUCGCCCUCCUCAUCGCCUGCCUGGUGCUGCGUGUCUUCAGGUCGGGGAAGAGGUUGAAGAAGACCCGCAAGUAUGACAUCAUCACCACUCCGGCCGAGCGAGUGGAAAUGGCUCCGCUGAACGAAGAGGAUGACGAGGAUGAGGACUCCACAGUAUUUGACAUCAAAUACAGAACUAGGACCACGUUGCAGAGUCUGCUUUGGAACUUUAUCCCACCUAAACAGCGUAUCAUGAACAGCUUCUCAGGUAAAACCUGUUCUCCAGUGUGUUGGCAUCCCGUGGAAAGUUGGUCAGCUGAAGCCGGGGGCAUAAAGGAUCUGGAAGCUGUCCCGCCUGAGGCGUUGAAACCAAAACCAACGUUAUUUAUAAGACUCUGGCAUAGUUGUGCGUGUGGAUGUCAGCUCAGAAUGCCACCGCAGGGGACGCCACUCUCCAGGCGCCCCUUUAAAAUGUCACCCUUUCUCCCUCCCCGAGAGGGCUUUUGCCUUGCUAAGGGGCAAGGGGCUGAAACAUUGCUGAUUUAAAAAAUAAUAAUUUUAAAGUCACUGUUGACAAAAGUAAAAGAGAUCAGAAGUUAUCAAGAACCUAAAAAAAAAAAAGUCUUAAGAGCUAUUCAGCCGUAUCUUUGGGGUUUCUGACAUUCAGCCUUCCUGGGUCUAUGACUUGUUAGAUGUCUGACCCCUCUGCAUUCUUUCUGGGCCUGGUGCGGGCGGUGGCUUAUUUCAGAACUCAGGUGCCCCCACUUGCCGGCUUCUGGAAGCAGGGCCUUGGCAGACUUCUCAGGAUGAUAGAGGCCUGCGCUUCCCGGCUCCCCAGGGGUUAUUCGCUCCAGUCUCCUAGCAGUGCCUUUGGGGCCGGGGGACUCUGUUCUCUCUGGAAAGGGGUUUUGUCUUUUGUUAUCUCCUCUUUUCUUGUCUGGCAGUCUGCAGGGUGUGCAUAUUUGUCUGUUUAUUGUCUGUUCCACCGCCUGGGGAUGAAAACGCUGGCCUUUCCCCACUCUCCCCUAUUUUCAGAUUUUUCAGUUUCCUGAGAAGGGGCUGCCAGUGCUUUGGGGUCCCCGGUUCCCUGGGCCCACUGGCCAGUUAGGCUGGUACGUUGGCCUUUACCAGAGAAGGGGGAUGCUUGGGGGCGGCCAUCCUGAGCAGAGUGCUCUGCCGCCCCUCUGCUUCUGUGAUUUCACUUUCUUUUGUUGACCUUUUCCGCCUUUUCUCCACCCUGUUUGCCGGGGGGGUGGGGUGUGGUUGGGGUGUGGGUGGGGCUUGCUUUCCCUCUCCCCUCCACAGUGUCCUCAUGGACCAGGGUGAUGAGCAAACGGGACGGGCCACCGAGCAGCUGUGCGCCCUCUGAACCUUUGACUGGAACUGCUGCUCACGCUUGCCUUCCCGACCGCUGCGGCUGCACCAUCUGCAGAAAGCUGGCUUCUUCUGCCUCCCGAGAAGACGCCGGCCUCCAUCUGCCAGGUGCUUGCCACCGGGUCUGGCAGAGGCGGCUACUGAGAAUGACCUUCCAGAUGCCAGAGCUUGCGCACUAUGGGCUCUAAAAUAAAAGGCCUUUCUGGCGUGAACCGUG